rnacentral:lncRNA from 1 species
UUUUUAGAAAAAUGAAGUUACAAGUCAGACUGGCAAUCCAACUUGUUGUUCGCAAGUCAGCUUGAGUUUGGCUUGAAAUAAGGCCGAGAUCGAUCGAUUGUUUAAUAAACUAGCCGAAACAAGAGCUGGGGUUAGCUCGUUUGUGUUCGACUCGAUAUAGCUCGAAUUUAUAAUAUAUAUACAUAGAGUCCAGCUAUUAUGCUAUCGAUAGUACCAAGCUCUUGGUACUAUCGAGUUUUCUGCCAUUAAAUCUAUUCUUUGAUUAUUUCCAUCCGUUAGAUUAUACUAUUCAACCAACCACCCACUCAAUCCUAGGGGAUCACUAUCAUCCUAACCACACAUCCUUUUAUCCAACGGUCGAAAACUCAAUAGUACCAAACGCUUAGUACUAUCAAUAAUAAGAGAGAGAGAGAGAGCGCGCUAUCCAAAUGUAAAAAGACUUAUAUUUUUAAUUAUUAUAUUAAGAUUCUAAUUUCUAAUGUUCUUCCAACUUUUCAUUUAAUAGUAGGCCUGACAAUCUAAUUUAUUGUUCAUGAGCCAACUCGUGUUCGGUUUAUUAAUAAACAAGCUGAAUACGCAAUUGUUCAGCUCAAUAGUCCAACAAGGCAGCUUGUGUUUGACUUAUUUAUUAAAUGAGCCGAACACGAGCUGGCACCAUCUAACUCGUGUUCAGCUCGUUAACAACUCUAGUUACAUAGUAAAUUUAAUCUAUAACAAAUUAAACAACAAAGUGAAUAUUGAUGAUCGAAACCGAUCCUCCACUUUUGAUGAAACAAACAUGCGCUUGGGACCAAUCCACCAAUCCAAACGCGAGGUAGCUCCAGGUUUUAGUUACUCUUUGGACCGGGUGUACUUUGGGCUUUGUACUUUUCAACACUCUUAACCUGAAAAAAUUCUAGAAUGCAACGGGUACAUUAGUGACGUGGCGUAACAAACCAAUCAAAUUAAUCAUUUUAAGAAUAUAUGUCCCAUCAUGAUUGUAAAAAAGUAUUUUUAUUGUACUUGUGUUUGAAAAAAAGAAAUGUGAUUGACUUGUUAUUGAUGACGUGGUGCAAGUGUGACAGUGUAGAAUUCCUCCUU